rnacentral:rRNA from 1 species
AACUUCGGUACAUCGGUGACAGGUGGUGCAUGGUUGUCGUCAGCUCGUGUCGUGAGAUGUUGGGUUAAGUCCCGCAACGAGCGCAACCCCUAUUGCUAGUUGCCAUCAUUCAGUUGGGCACUCUAGCGAGACUGCCGGUAAUAAACCGGAGGAAGGUGGGAUGACGUCAAAUCAUCAUGCCCCUUAUGACCUGGGCUACACACGUGCUACAAUGGUUGGUACAACGAGUUGCGAGUCGGUGACGGCGAGCUAAUCUCUUAAAGCCAAUCUCAGUUCGGAUUGUAGGCUGCAACUCGCCUACAUGAAGUCGGAAUCGCUAGUAAUCGCGGAUCAGCACGCCGCGGUGAAUACGUUCCCGGGCCUU